rnacentral:rRNA from 1 species
UACGUAGGGAGCGAGCGUUAUCCGGAUUUAUUGGGCGUAAAGCGUGCGUAGGUGGUUUAUUAAGUAUAAGAUUAAAACCUGAGGCUCAACCUCAGUUCGUCUUAUAAACUGGUAGACUUGAGUAUAGUAGAGGUAAGUGGAAUUUCUAGUGUAGCGGUAAAAUGUGUAGAUAUUAGAAGGAACACCAGUGGCGAAGGCGACUUACUGGGCUAUUACUGACACUGAGGCACGAAAGCGUGGGGAGCAAAUAGG